rnacentral:rRNA from 1 species
CAACGCUAGUCAGCGCCGGAGGAGGGUUGGAUCAAGGCCAACACAGACGGUGCUAUGUCAAAGUUUGGAGGCAAGAGUGGAGGAGGGGUUGUACUGCGGGAUCAUAACGGUGCCUUCCUAGCAGGUGCAAGCCACUUCUUUCCUCAUGUGGUUGAUGCAGAGGCCGCAGAGAUCAAAGCGUGCAAGCGAGCUCUAUUGCUAGCAGCGGAGAUGAACGUGCAAAGAAUCCAACUAGAACUGGACAGCCAGGCUCUAGUACAGAUGAUCAACACUCCAGAGAGGACUUUGGCGGCGACAGGCUCAUGGGUGGAGGAGAUAAAGACUUUGCUUCGCUCUUUUGAUGCAUUCAAUGUUUCGUGGGUGAGGCGUUCUGCAAAUGUUGCCGCGCAUAAGUUAGCAAAGAUAGGUGUAGGAGAAGAACUUUGUAAGGUCUGGCUUGGAUCACCACCGGAUUGUAUUUUGGAGGUGAUCGCAGGCGAGAUUCCAGACUCUUUUUAA